UAGGGAAUCUUCGGCAAUGGGGGCAACCCUGACCGAGCAACGCCGCGUGAGUGAAGAAGGUUUUCGGAUCGUAAAGCUCUGUUGUAAGAGAAGAACGUGUGUGAGAGUGGAAAGUUCACACAGUGACGGUAACUUACCAGAAAGGGACGGCUAACUACGUGCCAGCAGCCGCGGUAAUACGUAGGUCCCGAGCGUUGUCCGGAUUUAUUGGGCGUAAAGCGAGCGCAGGCGGUUUAAUAAGUCUGAAGUUAAAGGCAGUGGCUUAACCAUUGUUCGCUUUGGAAACUGUUAAACUUGAGUGCAGAAGGGGAGAGUGGAAUUCCAUGUGUAGCGGUGAAAUGCGUAGAUAUAUGGAGGAACACCGGUGGCGAAAGCGGCUCUCUGGUCUGUAACUGACGCUGAGGCUCGAAAGCGUGGGGAGUAAACAGG
rnacentral:rRNA from 1 species